ACGGUCCUCGGCGUUCGAGGCGCUCGCUCUCUUCCCAGGCUGAUGCUUAACUGACUGAUCUACCCAGGAGCCCCUUGCAGAUGUGAUUAUUUUUAUCCAUUGACUUCAGGUAAGGGAGAUUAUUCUAGAUCAGAUGGGUGGGCCUCAUCCAAUCAGUUGAAGGCCUUAAGACUAAAACCUGAUAUAGCUCAGAAAAGAAGGAAUUUUGUCUCAAGGCUGUAACAGAGAAAGCCUGCCUGAAUUUUCAGCCUCUCAACCUGCCUUACAGACUUUGGAUUUGCCAGCCCUCCCACAAUCAUGAGAUGUUCUUUAAAAUUAAUCUGCCCACACACA